rnacentral:lncRNA from 1 species
CACAUAUAAGUGAUAUACAGUGUUUGUCUUUCUUUGUUUGACUUACUUCACUUAACACAAUGCCCUUAAGUUCCAUCCAUGUCAUCACUAAUGGCAGGGCGCCCUUUCUCACUGCUGGAUAAUAUUCCAUCGUAUGAAUAUACCACAUUUUCUCAUCUAUUUAUCCGUUGGCAGACUCUUAGGUUGUUUCCAUAUUUUGGCUAUUGUAAAAAUGCUGCAGAUUUUUGAGAUAGUGAUUUCAUUUUCUUUGGCUAUAUUCCCAGAAGUGGAAUUGCUGGAUCAUAUGGUGGUUCUAUUUUUAAUUUAUUGAGGAACCUCCAUGCUGUUUCCCAUAGUAGCCAUGCCAAUUGACAUUUCCACCAAUGGUGCACAAGGGUUUCCUUUUCUCCACAUCCUCACCAGCAUCUGUUAUCUCUUAUCUUUUUGAUGAUGGAUGGCUGUUCUAACAGGUGUGAGGCAAUGUCUCAUUGUGGUUUUGAUUUGCAUUUCCCUGAUAAGUAGCGAUGUCAAGCACCUUUUCAUGUCACAAACAGCUUUUUAAUUAAAAUUUAACUCAUUUUGUCAGAAGAUUGCCUAGUAACAACAGAUGUCAACGAAAUUUUAAAAAUUAAACCUCAAAUCAAAUGUAAAGUUAAUUUGGCUUGAGAGAGCAAGUUUUAAAUUCAAAAUCCGUUUCCCAAAGCUUUACAUAAUUCACCGCCAAAAUCUGGGCACCUGCUCUUCUAACUAUUUUGUUUGUUUUAAUCCAAGUUUGUUUUGUUUUAAUCCCAAGAAACUUUAACAUCAGCAAAGCAUGUGCAAACCGGCGUCCUUGUCCAUUCUUAUCACAACCAGAGCUACACACAUCUUGCUUCUUCAUAUCCCAAGGCACUAAUCGAAUGGUAGAGUACUAACUGUGCAUUAGGAUGACUGCGCCCCUAAAAUGGGGGUGGGAGGAGACCAGAUCCAAGCCUUCUUUCCCAAAUCAGAAUGCUUUCCCCUUCCAUUAAAUAAAUGUAUCGAUUUCUAGACGAUGUCUCCUUUUAUGUAUACAAAGCGCACACAGAGGAAACUGGAAGGUUAUUUAAACCUGGGAGGCUGAAAAGUAAAGGUAAAAAGGGAAGAAACCAAAAACGCCCCUUGCACACUCCAGCCGGCCAAUCCCACGGGCGGGCGCGAGGGCCUGGAGGGAGAGGAGAGGCGAUCCACCAGUCCCCGCGGCGGCCCCGCGCCCCUGCGCCGCGGCCUCCGGGCUGUAGGGGCCGCUGCGGCGCGGGCCGGCGGGGCCGCUCUGUCCGGCAGGUGGAGACGAGGCGGCGCGGAGGUCGCGGCGAGGAGGUGACCCUGCGCAGGUAA